ensembl:snRNA U6 U6 spliceosomal RNA
GUGCUGACCAAGGAUAUUGAAACUACCACGGCAGCACAUAUACUAAAAUUGGAAUGAUACCGAGAAGAUUAGCAUGGUCCCUGCGCAAGGAUGACAUGCAAAUUCGUGAAGUCUUCCAUAUUUUU